rnacentral:rRNA from 1 species
UUAAAAUUGUUGCAGUUAAAACGCUCGUAGUUGAAUUUCAAAGAAUCGAUAUUUUAAGUAACGCUUCUAGCUAAAAAUCCACAUAACUGAUGCCUCCGCGUAUCGACUUUGUGCGCAUUUUAGCUAUUAUGUGUUCUUUUAAUUAAAAUGAUUCUUUUUAAGAUUCAUCUAUUAAAAAUUUGCUUCUGCAUAAUUUUUUUUGAUGAUCUUGUUACUUUGAGUAAAUUAGAGUGUUCAAAGCAAACAGAUAUAGCAUUUGUGCGUUUGAAUACUACAGCAUGGAAUAACAAAAUUGAACAAGUCAGAAUUUUUUUGUUCUUUUUUCUUAUUUUGGCUUAGUUACGAUUAAUAGGAGUAGCUUGGGGGCAUUUGUAUUCAGAUGUCAGAGGUGAAAUUCUUAGAUUUUCUGGAGACAAACAACUGCGAAAGCAUUUGCCUAAAAUACUUCCAUUAAUCAAGAACGAAAGUUAAGGGAGUGAAGACGAUCAGAUACCGUCGUAAUCUUAACCAUAAACUAUGCCGACUAGGCUUUGGAUGAAAGAUUUUAAAAUAAGAGUUUUUCUUUUCUCUCCGGAGAUUAGAACUCUUAGAUUGCUUCCUUCAGUGCCUUAUGAGAAAUCAAAGUCUUUGGGUUCUGGGGCGAGUAUUCGCGCAAGCGAGAAAGUUAAAAGAAUUGACGGAAGGGCACCACCAGGCGUGGAGCUUGCGGCUUAAUUUGACUCAACACGGGAAAACUCACUAGUUUAAGACA